rnacentral:lncRNA from 1 species
AUACUGUGCUAUGUUAACAUCUAGCCUUGUGAAUGGUGUUUUAUACUUGCAUCUCUCAUCAUCAUCUGCUCUGUCCUCAUAAUUAUGAAAAAUGAACUGCUAUGUAUCCCCCUCCCCCUCCUUGCUUGUUAGAGAAGUAAACUGAUGAGAGCACUGGAUGAGGGUCUAUCAUCUAUGUUCUGUUAUAAUUUGCUUUUUAUGCAAAUAGUGAGCAAAAAUUAAAGCAAAACUGUACAAGUUACAUAUAUAGUACUAUAUCAGUACUAUACACGAACUUUUAUCGAUGGAUAAUUUUGCGAGUUUUUAUCCAAUUCAAUCAUAUAUAUGCUCAAAAUCGUCGCAGUAAGUUUCUCUUUACCAUAAAAUUUGACCGAAUAAGUUUCAAAACAAUGCGACGGCAAAAAAUGCAAAAAUCCUGAUUUUCGUAAUAGAAUUUAUGGUCUUUUUGCCCUGUUGUACCGCCAUCUUGGAUUUAUCAUGUAGGCCCCACCU